rnacentral:misc_RNA from 1 species
AAGUCGUAACAAGGUUUCCGUAGGUGAACCUGCGGAAGGAUCAUUAAUGAAAUAUCAGAAGUUGUUGCUGACCUUUCGAGGUACUGUGCACGCUUCAUUUUCAUCCACACACACCUGUGCACUACUUUAUCAAUUUGAAGGGAGUAAUCCCUCUCAAGUUGUAAUUUACACACAUGUUAAAACUUAUAGAACGUCAUGUUUAUAAUAAAACAUAACAACUUUCAACAACGGAUCUCUUGGCUCUC